rnacentral:rRNA from 1 species
UACGUAGGGGGCAAGCGUUGUCCGGAAUUAUUGGGCGUAAAGCGCGCGUAGGCGGCCCUGUAAGUCCGUUGUGAAAGUCAAAGGCUCAACCUUUGAAAGCCGAUGGAUACUGCAGGGCUAGAGUCCGGAAGAGGCGAGUGGAAUUCCUGGUGUAGCGGUGAAAUGCGCAGAUAUCAGGAGGAACACCGGUGGCGAAGGCGGAUCUCUGGGCCUUACCUGACGCUCAGGCGCGAAAGCUAGGGGAGCGAACUGG